rnacentral:rRNA from 1 species
UACGUAGGGGGCAAGCGUUGUCCGGAAUCAUUGGGCGUAAAGAGCGUGUAGGCGGCCAGAUAAGUCCGCUGUGAAAACUCGAGGCUCAACUUCGAGCUGUCGGCGGAAACUAUCUGGCUAGAGUCCGGAAGAGGAGAGUGGAAUUCCGUGGUGUAGCGGUGAAAUGCGCAGAUAUCAGGAAGAACCACCCGUGGCGAAGGCGGCUCUCUGGGACGGUACUGACGCUGAGACGCGAAAGCGUGGGGAGCAAACAGG